UGCUAUCUAAAGAUGAUGCCCUGAUUGAAGAAGACAUACUUAGGCUGAGUAUAAGUGAAACAAUGAAUAUAAUUCAAACAGUACAAUGUCAAGAAUUACAGAAAUAAAGAAGACUGUUCAUCUUCCUUGUAAAAUACUCUUUAUGGUUCAAAGUAUUACAGUGAUAAUAGUUCAUUCAGGCUAUGUUAAUUCACGGGAAUUUAAAUUCCCAAAAUCAGACGUAAUUUACUCAGUUCUGAUACUAAAUUAUGGGCUUAAUGUAUCCCCGACCAAUGCGAAUUCUUUUUCAUGUAUGGAAAUCAGUUUCCAUGAAUGCCAAAAAUGGUUACUAUGAGAUCUCCUAACUGGAUAUGUUCAAUGACCCCUCCCACUAGUAUAAAGCAGGGAUUAAUGUAUAUCACGAAAUCAGUCUGAAAGAACAUAUAUAAUGCUGCCUUUCAACAACUAGCAUACCUCUGCAUUUACUAGCAUGUGCAGACCAAUUAUAAAAGCAUUUCAAUAACUCAAAGAAUAGUUGCAACUUGCAACUAGCCUGUAUUGGAAGCUAAAUAAGUAGGCAUUAAAGAAAGAUAAAGGAGAAUAUCGCUGACAGCACAUGUGAAGCUACAGUAAUCAUAAAAAGAAGCAACACUAACCUUGACUGCUGGAGUUUAGGUGCUUGAAGAUAGUCAUAAACUGGUACCAGGUCCUUGCACCUUGCCUCAAUCACACGAAUGGGGAUUCUUUCGAUUUCAGUUUCCCCGCCAGAAUUUCCAGUCUCUGUCUCUAGUCCGUCCAAUACCAUGGUUUGGAAGUAUAUCUAAGGAGCAAUUUACAUUGUAAGACGUCUACCACGGCACAAUACAAAAAC
rnacentral:lncRNA from 1 species